rnacentral:lncRNA from 1 species
GCUACAUUCAUGGGUUUCUUUAUGUGGGAAAAACUAAUGUGGCCCUUUGGGACCAUCAGCUUUAGUCUGAUUCGCUUUGAUAGCCAUGUACCCAUAAACUUAAUGGAGGCUUUGGGGCUCAAAAUAUUUUGUAUUCCAUUUCUUACAUAGGCUGCUGCUCGUAGAUUGAAAGACUGCACCUUCAGCGCAGCAGGACUGGGGUGCCAUCCCUGUUCUCAAAGGCAUGACAGGAAGGUUGACUCAUAUUCAUAUGCUUGGUGCCAGCCCCCAUUAGAGCAGACUGAAGCAGGAGUGCACUCAUCUGGGAUCCAGAAGAGCCCCACUUGCUAUGCAGUACUGUCAUAGUCAAAGAGGAGGAGCACAGGAUGCAGAACUCAGGGUUUCUCAGCAUCAUUUUGCAAACAGCUGCAUUACUCACAACCACAAACAGCACAACCGGAUAAUGCAAGUCACCAGUUCCUGCCUGAGGAAGCAAGGCUCCCACUGCCUGUUAGCCUAGCUGACAAAUGCUCCGGCCCUUGUGCAGGCACAAUGUGACAGAUUCUGGUGGGUCUAUUUGGGGUUGUCACCUUUAGGUCCCACCUGGCGCAGGGUGGGACAGGAGAAUAAGCAUCUGGGGAAGAAGAAAGAGGUAACAGCAGAAUGGAGAAUUGGUAAAGCAUUUGUAGCAUGAAGCAAGAACUAAGAUAGGAGGGAGACAGGAUGACAGGAAAAGGGCUGAAGGGAUAUAAAGCAGUAUCAAUAACCCUGAAGCUGCGAUGAGAGUGAAGUAUGAUUAGAUAGCAAUCCUAUGAGUCAGGGUUAGAGGAAAGAGGAUCAUGGCAGUGCUGAGAUGCAAAUAUAAUUAAUUAGGUUGUGAACCACUGAAUCAGAUGAUGCCAAAUGUAGACAUCUGUGCUUCUUCACACCUUCAUUUGUAUGUGCUACAUAAAGGUUUACAGGAAUACCUUUGCAAGCUUUGUAGGAAUUAUUGAUUCUGAUAUAUUUUUCCUCUUCUGAAAUGUGGUUUUCUGGCCCCAUGAUUGAAAUUAAAGAAAUGCUGAGAGACAAAUCUAAAAAACUGUGUAAUUUUAUCUGAAGCGUCAACUGUAGCAAGUUUAUAUCUAACUUUGUUACAGAAAAAGCAAGUGUUUUGCAUCCCAUGUGGAUAUCUAGGUCUUCCCAUUCUUUUGUAAUGUAAAAGCAGUGUUUUUAAUUUUGGCAGGCAAGAUCAUGAGUCACAGGCUUGAAGGUUCAAGUAAACGUGAAAGAAAUCCUGGUAGUGAUACUCAUUCCUGUUUGUAACAGGUGUUUUAAGUUUCUCUAGAAUUUGGGAGUUUGGCUAACUCUUGAAAAGCCUGUAUGAAAUGACUUAAAAGUCAACAAAGAAAGGUGUGGUAGUUUUUUUAUUUGGUUGAUUGGAUUUGUUCUAAUCUGGUUAUUCAUUUGUUAUUUU